GGGUACGCGCCGUUUACGACUCUAGUCGCUCCCCAUUCCACCACGGUGUGUCGUGCCGACAGCGGCGGUGGGGGGCAGACCGUCGCAUGCGAUCGGUUGCAUCGGCGGUUGCAUGAUGCAGGAAAACGCGCAAACUUCAAUUUUGAUAUCUGCAUGCAUAUUACUAUUGCACAUACAAUUAUAGAUGAAAUCUAUUUAAACCACUGAUUUGCACGUUUACAAAAGCAAGCUACAGUGUGAAACAAAAAGGCCCGUAUUAGCAUAUUGCGUGCAUCUAGAAUGCACACCGAUAACUACAUCUGCCACAACAACUUAUAUUUGCAGUAUACUAUCUGAGUCCGUGCGUAUAAAUAUAUAUACAUCCACAUCCGACAAAUUUCCGUAAGCAAUUGCCAUGAAGGUGUGUGCGUUUUUCAGCGCUUUUUGCCCGGGUAGCACAGCAGCGCUCACAAUGCAAGUGUCGGGCAACCUGUGCGUGUACGUUGUUGGGUGCACGCACAUCGUCCAUCCAUCUCCGGCGUCGUUGACUGUCAAUCGGCAGAAAGCUCGUCCAGGCAAUAUGACGGCAUGCGACGGCAGGAUGUGGGCUAAAUGACCUCUGUUGUUUUUGUUUGAGAGACGUAUAUAAUUAAUUUGCGUUUGCGUUACGACUCUAUUUGGAGUAAUAUAUUUUAUACAUGGCUGUGGUGUAAAGUCAA